rnacentral:lncRNA from 1 species
AAACUGGAAUAAGUGGUGGUUGGCUCUUUGGGUAUCAGUCAAACAAUGCUAUGUUACAUUCAUUUGUUCUUUUUCUGCACUUAGAUAUCUGCUCCAGAUCUUUAUGGAGGCCAUGGAGUAUGCUAAAGGAAGAAGGGUUGGAGAGAGAAAACAGACUUAAAAGCAGGCUGAGAGUUCAGGGAUCUUUAUGGAAGAGGAGAUAAAGAUCAAAAGAUCCAGAGGUAUCAGAUAUCUGCAGGAAACAUCGGUUGAAAAGCAUGUGUGUUUUGGUGCACACAUGAACUUACGGUUUCUGUGCCUGCAUGCACAAGAUCUACACAAGAUCAAGGAAGCCAAGCAGCUUGCCGGGCUUGUAGCUUCUGCUGAGCAUCUAUCUGGCUACCCCCUCCACAUUCUGCAUAAGCUCUCCCAUCCUCCCAUGCUUCUCCAGCCUCACGGUGACUCUAUG